AGAUACAAUUCCUUUCAAAUGUUUUUGAUCAGUGGCUGUUUGAAUCUUUGGAUAUAGUAUCCCCACACAUGCAAGACCAACUGUGUAGUCUGGAACAACAGACCCCACCUACGUGUAUUGGCUUCUCCUUUUAGAAUUCUGAUUGCCCUUGGAAUUUUCCAGCGGAAAGAGUGGCCCUGCUACUUUGUGUACUCCAUGGGGUACCAUAGUGUGGCUAAUUUCCUCAACAGGACAUGAGCUCAACAGGAAAGACUUCAGGAAGCCCUACAGAGUUGGACUCAUCAAAAUUCUGAAUAAAAAAUGAGACAGGGGAACCCCCAGGGUCCCCUUGAGAUGACACUCUUAAAUGUUGUGUAUACGCACCUCCAUCUCAAAGGAACUGUAACCAGCAUGCCCAGUUGUCAAGACUCUCAUCUCUAAGGUUUCCAAGUCUGCCAAACAUCCACCACAUUCUUUUUCACAAAAGGAAGAAUUCUACAGCCCGGAUUUCCUGGCCAUUAUGUCAGACUCUCAUCUCUCAUCCCAGGAGAUAGUGUCAAACAAUGAACAUACUAGAAAUUCUUGUAGAAAUUGUGUGAAUUGAGAUUUUUUUUUAAAAAGAUACAGAUAUGAGGACAAAGUAAGAGGAAAGUGAGUCAGGACAGUGUUAGAGAAGAACAGCACAAUAAAGAGAUUUUUGAAGAAAGGGAGCUGAUUGACAGGCUUCCAGCAGAUGAGUGGGGCUGCUCAAAGAUGAGGAAGCUUCAAGGAUCAGAGUUGGUGACGCACAAAGGAGCCCAGAAUAACAGGUGUGAGGUGAUAUCGCAUUGUGGUCUUCUGUGAUAAUUAUGGGGCUGAGUAUCUUCAUUUACAGGAGGAUACAAUGACAAAGCAGCCAACUAUAAACUGAGAAAAGAACACCCACAAGGAACAGAAUCAUCUGGGACCUUGAACUUCAACACCCCAAUUUAUAGACCUGUAAGAAAGUAAAUUUCUGUCAUUUAAACCAUUCAGAAUAAAACAUCCUGUUAUGGCAGCCUGA